CCGGAACAAAAAUGACGGAAAGUGCAGAUCACCCGGAAGCGUGAAAGGAAGCACGGCCUCCAGCUCGGCGGACAUGUUUGUUUUUCUGCACUGAAGGUUAAGGUUGCCAACAUUACAGAAUCAUCUUUGUGAACCUCCUUUGAACCUUCUCCAAUGCUAACUCAUCUUUUCUCAGAGGAGGAGCCCAAAACUAUUCAUGAUACUCAAGGCAGAGGGAAACCGUUCUGGUUGUCAUUUGAAACAAGAACUACGGGAUAUAGAAUCACUGGCAGAAGAAUCAAAGUGACAUAAGGCACAGAAACCAGAGCACCCUGAAGAAAUCCACGCAGUCAUGGGGAGAAUAUGCAACUUUCUUAUAGAGAACAGCGGAAAUGAACCCUGAUUUUACAGCUGGUGUUGUAAAACAUUAUGCUAACUGCUGUGCUACCGUGUUGCCUCAUAUAGACCCAAUGUUAAAUGUUAAUCUACUGUAUCCAUCCCCAUAGGAACACGCACACACUUCUCUCCCACCCCUCCGGGAACCAGUCUCAUGAAUCUAAGCUGCAGGUCCACUGAGACUAGUAUAUCUGCUUGAUACUGCAAAGGAAGUUUCACCAAAGCCACAUACAAUCGCAGCGUGGCUUCUUACUUUUGUACUCCAGCCCUUUGCAAUAAAAGCCAAUGCACCAUUUGCUUUCUUAAUUGCUUGCUGAAGUUGUACAGUUACCUUCUGCAUCUCAUCAGCAUGCUCCCUGUACACAAAUGUUUAUUGGCUUCUCACUGCUUUCCUGUUUUUCCUACCGUAAUGCAUAAUCUCACAUUUUCCUCCAUCUGCUCCAGCCAUGUCCACCUACUUAAACUGCAUGGCAAUUCAUUGGAUCCUCUUAACAGUUUAUUUCUCAGCUAGCUGUAUAUAAUUUGCAAAACUGGAUAUUAUACUAAGGCUUUUCAUUUACAACAUCAACAUAAAUUCAAUUUUUUAAGGCCCACUGAUCCCUGUGCCACUUGACUAGUCGUCUAUCAACUGUUACUCCCAACUCAUUUUUCUAUCCUUUAACAAAUCUUCUAUCCACAUUCCUAAACCCAACCCUGCAAACGCAUGUUUUUUUGUUACAAAUAUCUACAUACAGAUUUCCUGAAUGUGUUUUAACAACACAGAUGCACAACAUACACUGGAUAUUUCCCUUCUUUAUUUGUUACUUUAAUGCUCAGACUAUGGUCCUAUGUCAGAAUACUGCUCUGAAUAAAUGGAGCAUGUAAAAUACUUAACUAAGUGGAAGAAUUUAAAUGCUAAAAUUUAAACUAUCUGCUGUGGAACUCACGACAUUCAACUUUUUCUGCAUUUCUACUGGAAGAGACAUCCAUCUGGCCCCAUUUCUAUAUAAUGUACCUUCUCAGAACCUUCUAAAUUUUAUUUUCUUUUGUCUUUUCUUUUAAAGUAUGUUAGACCAUUUUCUGAUUGGGGUGGACUAUUCUAACAUCCCUUUGCUUAGAAACAAUUUUUUAAAUCACUUGCUGUGUUUUUUGUUGAUUAUAUCAAAUCUAGCUUGUAAACCUUUGUUUCACUUUAUCAAGACCCUAUGAGAUCAUUUAUACCAAAUCAUUAUGUUAAUUUG